rnacentral:rRNA from 1 species
CCCUUAGAUGUUCUGGGCCGCACGCGCGCUACACUGAUGCAUUCAACGAGUCUAAAACCUGCUCUGAUAGGGGUGGGUAAUCUUUUGAAUGUGCAUCGUGAUUGGGAUAGAUGAUUGCAAUUUUUCAUCUUCAACGAGGAAUGCCUAGUAAACACAAGUCAUCAGCUUGCAUUGAUUACGUCCCUGCCCUUUGUACACACCGCCCGUCGCUCCUACCGAUUGAAUGAUCCGAUGAAUAUCAUGGAUUGAGGAUGCAAGUAGGUUCGCCUAUCUUCAUCUUCGAGAAGUGAAGUAAAUCUUAUCAUUUAGAGGAAGGAGAAGUCGUAACA